GGGGAUUUAGCUCAGUGGUAGAGCGCUUGCCUAGCAAGCGCAAGGCCCUUGGUUCAGUCCCCA
rfam:Rattus norvegicus chromosome 3, whole genome shotgun sequence.